rnacentral:rRNA from 1 species
CAGUAGCCACGGGAAUACGUAGGGUGCGAGUGUUAAUCGGAAUUACUGGGCGUAAAGCGUGCGCAGGCGGUGAGUUAAGUCUGCUGUGAAAUCCCCGGGCUCAACCUGGGCAUGGCAGUGGAUACUGGCUCGCUAGAGUGUGUCAGAGGAUGGUGGAAUUCCCGGUGUAGCGGUGAAAUGCGUAGAGAUCGGGAGGAACAUCAGUGGCGAAGGCGGCCAUCUGGGACAACACUGACGCUGAGGCACGAAAGCGUGGGGAGCAAACAGGAUUAGAUACCCCCGUAGUCCCUGUCUCUUAUAC